AGCCAGCGCUAGAGUUUUUUGGGCAGAUACCAAGGCUCUUGUUGAAUAAUGUAUAUUCCCGACAAAGCAAUAGAUAUUAAUAUGGCGAAGAAAAUUAAUGAACAGUCGGAAAUCAAAGAAAACAAAGAGGCCAAUACAGUUUCUCAAAAAGGAGAACGCCUGUUACAGAUACAGGCCCGGAAUUUUUUUGUAAUCUAGGAAAAUGCACAUCAAAAAAACCCUAAAAGCGUACGAACCGAAAAAAAAAUUACUGUGGCUGAAUCUUAUAAUCAUCAAAAUUAAGUUGUAGGAGUUGGCUAAACUUUGGUUUCUGUUUUCUAUUGUACACAGGGUGAGUCUUUUUGAAUUUCUUUUUUUUCAAUUUUUAUUACAUUUCAUCCAUAUUUAAGAUGUGACAGAAAAGCGAUGGAUUCAAUUUCUGUAAUAUCUUACAGCUGAAUUACUAUAGAAUGUAGAAAUAAGUGAUAUUUUACACAUUUCAGUUUGAAAUAUCAAUCAAGCCAUUUCAUAUGGCUUUUCUAUGAUAAUAAAAAUUUAAAAAAUAGUGUCAAUAGGAGAUCUUAUAUAAACAUAAUUAAGAAGAAUCGAAAAUAUUGCCACUCCUUUCCUAAUUUUUUCCAGUUCAAGAAUUUUGAAUGAAGAUGGUCGAAGAAGACGAUAUCAUUGCUAUAUUUCAAAUCGUUUUGUAAAAAAGUCAAGAUUUAUUGAAAUUAUAAAUUUCACCCAAUAUCCGAAAUUCACUCUGUAUAUAACUCCAGGUUUUGAGAUUCAAAGGAAUUUUCUGAUAUCGAUAUUUAAUAUUUUGAUCCACUUUUUUUUUGAUAAAUUGAAAGUUCCGUUCAAUGAAAUCAUUCAAUAUUCCAUAUUGAUAAACAACCUUUAUAUCCAAGUAAUGAUUUAUUCAGAUAUUACUGCACUGCAUCGACCGAUAAGUGCCAUUUGAAUUUUUAUUCAAAAAUGGUUCAACUAAUCUCAUAAAUUCGGCAUUUUUUAUCUCUUUAUCAUCCAUUUUAUUGACUCGUAUUAUAAAUAUCUCAGCAAAUCUUGAACAUGCAACAGUGUUCAUCAAAGUUAUAUCCAGCUGAAAUACUCAUAAUAUUUUGAUCGAUAUGAAGAUUACCAUCCUUGCUAUUUUCUUCGUGAUGUUUCUUUUUGAAGCAUUCUCCUCUCCUACCGAACCGAAAGAGGGAAUUCUUCAUAGACUUCGCAGAUCCUUCUGUGGCGACACUGCAUGUGCUUUAGGCUGCACUCGCUAUGACUUCAAGGGAGGAUAUUGUAACGAGUAUGGAGGUUGUGUCUGUUCACAUGAAGAUAGAUUUGCAAUAAAAACAUAAAAUAUAAUUUUGUAUUUAUGAUAUACCCGUUAACUCUUGUUAAAUUUACUCGGAUUUACUCUUUUGUUCUUUAUCCAUAUAUCACAUUUUCUGCAAUAGACCUGAAAAAGCAAAA